ACGGUACCCACAUCCCCCUAGAGGAGCCUGUUCUAUAAUCGAUAAUCCGCGUUUAACCUCACCAUUUCUAGCUAUCAGCCUGUAUACCUCCGUCGUCAGCCUACCACGUGAGCGCUAACACAGUAAGCUUAAUGUUAUUUCACCCACACGUCAGGUCAAGGUGCAGCUAAUGAAAAGGAAAGAAAUGGGCUACACUUUCUACACUAGAAAACACGAAAAACUACUAUGAAAUCUAGUUUAAAGGCGGAUUUAGAAGUAAAAAGGAAUCAGCAUGUCCAUUUUAACUCGGCACUGGGGUGUGUACACACCGCCCGUCACCCUCUUCAAAACCACAACAUAAUUUUUAAUAAAUUUUUAACACCACAGAAGAGGUAAGUCGUAACAUGGUAAGUAUACCGGAAGGUGUGCUUGGGAAACGAAAUGUAGCUUAACUAAAG
rnacentral:rRNA from 1 species